UACGGGGGGGGCAAGCGUUGUUCGGAAUUACUGGGCGUAAAGGGCUCGUAGGCGGCCAACUAAGUCGGACGUGAAAUCCCUCGGCUUAACCGGGGAACGGCGUCCGAUACUGGAUGGCUUGAGUUUGGGAGAGGGAUGCGGAAUUCCAGGUGUAGCGGUGAAAUGCGUAGAUAUCAGGAGGAACACCGAUGGCGAAGGCAGGUCUCUGGGCCACUACUGACGCUGAGAAGCGAAAGCGUGGGGAGCGAACAGG
rnacentral:rRNA from 1 species